UUAUGGGUCAAGCUCGCAAUGAAUUUGCCACUUGCUCAAUCGCCUAAUUAAUUGUCCUUGUUUCAGGCCUCGUAUAUUUGAAGAGCUCAGAGAUUCAGGAAGAGGAAUCAGUAGUCAUGGCAGCGCAUGCAAAAGAAGAUUGCAAAGGUUUACAUUACACAAAGCAAACCGAGUGCUGGUUAUAAGAAGAUUUGAGCGCAUUUGUGCUCCGACCACUCAUGCAGGCUCAUUCAAGUGCCACCUACACAGAAGUACUACUAGUGCACCACACAAAUCUUCACAGCCUAAUAAAGACAGCACAAACAGCAGUUGUUGGAACUUCGACUCCAAGAAGAUCAAUGCAUGGGAAGCCCUGGCUGUUGAGGUUCGGUAGUGCCGCCUUUACUGAACGACAGACACAAACAGUGGCUUCUGUCAAGCCUUAGAUGUACAUGAAAACUAGUUCUCUGGAGAUUUUCUUUUGAUAUAUAUUAUGGGAAAAGCUCAAAAUCGGUCGGGUGUAAUCCUUAUUUUCACACCGGCCAAUAGGAUUGCAACAUGUAUGAAAUAUAUUUUUCUUCUAAUGGAUCUUACCUCACGGACUCAACUCUAUCCCUCUCCUCUCUCUUCCCGAUUCUCUGUUCUUCCUCUCCCCUCCCCUCCCGAUUCUCCUCUCCCACAGAACAAUUCUCUGUUAGUUGCAUACAAAGGCAAUAAUAUGGUUCUUGAUAAGUGGAGAACCCGAAAGCUGGUGGCCCAAAAUCGUGAAAUUAUCAAAUGGGUUAGUUAUAUUCGUGGGGAUUCGGCGUGGGUUUUGGUAUAUUUGUAGAGAAUAGAGACAAAACGAGGUUGUGUUGCAUGGCUGAUUGAUCUGAAUCAUCGAGGAGAGGAGAGGAGAGGCAUGUUCUUUCUUUCCUUUUUUUCCUGCAUACGGCUGUAUUUUUUUUCCUAAAUUACUUCAGGUUCUCCACCGAUCAAAAACCAUGAAGGGCAGAUGCUAGUAAUCAACUGCUCAACAAUGUGAGAUCAACUAAUUCAAGUGCUUCAAGUUCCAACAUAGCUCGACCAGAGAACAUAGCUGCCAUAUGAUUCUAAGUUCCAACACACCAGAGAACUUGUAUUUGUUGCAGACUGCAUUCAAGUUGUAUUUGUUGCAGACUGAGUUGUAUUAUCAGAUCUUGAACUUUCAUACAAAUCAUGUACAACCAUCCACAUACAGAUCGUGUGCAUUUUUCAACAAAGCCUCAUGAUUUCUCACAUUUUCUCAGCAACCAAACAAAAUUUAAUAGAUAUUCUUCAAUCGAUGGAGGCCGAUGGGGGGUGGGGGUAGGAGCUAGAAGACAAUGGAUGGUGGGAGCAGGCCGACGAGGGUUGAGGGGAUAGUGGAUAGUGAGAGCAACACUGAUUGGUUUUUUCACACAGAACACAGAGAGACGAGAGGAGGCCGACGAUGGGGCAAGGAGGAGAGGGGCCCAAUCUUCUGGCAUCACGUUUUGGGAGAUGCUGUGAAUAUUUGAUCUGAUACAUGUUGUUCUAUUCUCAAUGUAGCUGAUAUCUACACGUGGCAACUGUUUAAUAGCUGGUGUAAAUCAACAUUACACACCCGACCGGCUCCAAGUGCCACUCAUAUAUUAUCUAGUUGUUGGAUUUUUUUUUCUUUUCAAGAGGCCAAUACCCAAAUUUUAUUUAAGAAGCUUGGGGAAUUCUCUAGUUCUUGUUAUAUUCUGAAUUCUUCAUUAGUAACAUGCCCAUGUUAUGCAUGUACGCUUGUUUAGACGAGAACCAGAGUAACAUGCAUGCAUUGAUGGUUUUGUGGCUCUGUAUAAACAAAA